rnacentral:lncRNA from 10 species
UGUUACUGUACCUCAUUUAUAAUUUAAACUUUAUCAUAUAUAUGUACAGAAAAAACAUAGUAUAUGUAGGGUUCAGCAUUAGCCAGUUUCAGGCAUCCACUGGGGGUCUUGGAACAUAUCCCGUUGAUAACGGGGGAGUAGUGGAUUUUGUAGAUUUGGUUAACAUCUACGAUCAGUUAAGUAAUGAUUACCAUUGAUACUGUGGGUGGGCCUCAACCAAUCAGUUGAAAGCCUCAAGAGGAAAACAGAUUUCCCUGAAGAAAUCCCACCAGUGUCAGCUCUUGUUUCAUGAAUUUUAGGCUUGCCUAACCAGCCCUCUUGAAAAGAGGACAAAGGCUAAAAGGUAGCCUGGUAUGUCUGGAAUACAAAAAGGAAGCUGGCUAGCCAAAAAGUAGAAACAACCCACAUGUCCACUCACUGAUGAGUGCAUAAACAAAAUGUGCUCUAUCAAUACAAUGGGAUAUGAUACAGCCAUAAAAAGGAAUGAAGUACUGAUACAUGCUACAAUGUGGAUGGAUCUCAAAAACACUACAUUAGGCCAGGUGUGGUGGCACACGCCUGUAAUCCCAGAACUUUGGGAGGCCAAGGCAGGCAGAUCACUUGAGGUCAGGAGCUCAAGACCAGCCUGGCCAACACGGUGAAACCCCAUCUCUACUAAAAUACAAAAAUAAGCUAGGUGUGGUGGUGCAUGCCUGUAAUCCCAGCUACUCAGGAGGUUGAGGCAGGAGAAUGGCUUGAACCCAGGAGGCAAAGGUUGCAGUGAGCUGAGAUUGCACCAAUGCACUCCAGUCUGGGCGACAGAGUGAGACUCCAUCUCAAAUUUAAAAAAAAAAAAAAAAAAAAAAAAAAAAAACCACUACACUAAGUGAAAGAAGCCAGACACAAAAGGCCACAAUUGUGUAAUUCCAUUUUUAUGAAAGAUCCAGAAUAGGCAAACCCAUAAACAGGAAGUCCACUGGUGGUUGCUAGGGACAGGGAGGAGGGAGGAAACGGGGAGCUCUUGUUUAAUGGCUACAGGGUUUCAUUUUGGGAUGAUAAAAAAUGUUUUGGAACUAGACAGAGGCAAUGGUUACACAACACUGUGGAUGUUCAGUACCAAAUGCCACUGAAUUGUUCCCUUUAAAAUGGUUAACUUUAUGUUAUGUGAAUUUCACCUAAAUACAAAUAAAUAAUAAAUACAUUGCAAGGAAAAAAUGUGGAAAGAGGCAUAUCGAACAAAAAAGUUUUAAUGAAAAAGAAAAGACAUUAAAAAGUUCUGCAAACAGGAAGGUUUGGGCAUGGA